UACGUAGGUGGCAAGCGUUGUCCGGAAUUACUGGGCGUAAAGAGCGCGUAGGCGGGCGAUCAAGUCAGGGGUGAAAUCCUCCGGCUCAACCGGAGAACUGCCUUUGAUACUGGUCAUCUCGAGUGAGGUAGGGGCAUGCGGAACUGAUGGUGGAGCGGUGAAAUGUGUUGAUAUCAUCAGGAACUCCGGUGGCGAAAGCGGCGUGCUGGACCUUUACUGACGCUGAUGCGCGAAAGCCAGGGGAGCGAACGGG
rnacentral:rRNA from 1 species